rnacentral:rRNA from 1 species
CGCGUAGGCGGUCUGUCCAGUUAGGCGUGAAAGGCCUGGGCUUAACCCAGGAAUGGCGCUUAAUACUGACGGGCUUGAGAUUGGAAGAGGAGAGUGGAAUUCCCAGUGUAGAGGUGAAAUUCGUAGAUAUUGGGAAGAACACCGGUGGCGAAGGCGGCUCUCUGGUCCACAUCUGACGCUGAGGCGCGAAAGCGUGGGGAGCAAACAGGAUUAGAUACCCUGGUAGUCCUAACCGUAAACUAUGGAUACUAGAUGUUGGGAGAGUCAAUCUUUCCAGCGUCGUCGCUAACGCAUUAAGUAUCCCGCCUGGGAAGUACGCUCGCAAGGGUGAA